UACGUAGGGAGCAAGCGUUGUCCGGAAUCAUUGGGCGUAAAGCGCGCGUAGGUGGCUUCGUAAGUCCGUUGUGAAAGUCAAAGGCUCAACCUUUGAAAGCCGAUGGAUACUGCGGAGCUAGAGUACGGAAGAGGCGAGUGGAAUUCCUGGUGUAGCGGUGGAAUGCGCAGAUAUCAGGAGGAACACCAAUAGCGAAGGCAGCUCGCUGGGACGUCACUGACGCUGAGACGCGAAAGCGUGGGGAGCAAACAGG
rnacentral:rRNA from 1 species